rnacentral:rRNA from 1 species
UGGGGAAUAUUGCACAAUGGGGGAAACCCUGAUGCAGCGACGCCGCGUGAACGGAGAAGGUAUUCGUAUCGUAAAGUUCUGUCCUAUGGGAAGAUAAUGACAGUACCAUAGAAGAAAGCUCCGGCUAAAUACGUGCCAGCAGCCGCGGUAAUACGUAUGGAGCGAGCGUUGUCCGGAAUUAUUGGGCGUAAAGGGUACGCAGGCGGUUUAAUAAGUCGAAUGUUAAAGAUCGGGGCUCAACCCCGUAAAGCAUUGGAAACUGAUAAACUUGAGUAGUGGAGAGGAAAGUGGAAUUCCUAGUGUAGUGGUGAAAUACGUAGAUAUUAGGAGGAAUACCAGUAGCGAAGGCGACUUUCUGGACACAAACUGACGCUGAGGUACGAAAGCGUGGGGAGCAAACAGG